rnacentral:rRNA from 1 species
GAGGAAAGAGGGGGGCGUGCUUAACACAUGCAAGUCGAACGAUGAAGCCCAGCUUGCUGGGUGGAUUAGUGGCGAACGGGUGAGUAACACGUGAGUAACCUGCCCUUAACUCUGGGAUAAGCCUGGGAAACUGGGUCUAAUACCGGAUAGGAGCGUCCACCGCAUGGUGGGUGUUGGAAAGAUUUAUCGGUUUUGGAUGGACUCGCGGCCUAUCAGCUUGUUGGUGAGGUAAUGGCUCACCAAGGCGACGACGGGUAGCCGGCCUGAGAGGGUGACCGGCCACACUGGGACUGAGACACGGCCCAGACUCCUACGGGAGGCAGCAGUGGGGAAUAUUGCACAAUGGGCGCAAGCCUGAUGCAGCGACGCCGCGUGAGGGAUGACGGCCUUCGGGUUGUAAACCUCUUUCAGUAGGGAAGAAGCGAAAGUGACGGUACCUGCAGAAGAAGCACCGGCUAACUACGUG